rnacentral:pre_miRNA from 1 species
UGGACAGAUUAUUGUAUUCGACUGUAUUUACGGCGUGAAACAGGGGAUUACACUGUUUUUAAACGGAAAGUGAAUCAAUUAACAUAAUAGACUCCU